UACGUAGGGGGCUAGCGUUGCCCGGAUUCACUGGGCGUAAAGCGGGUGUAGGCGGUUCUUUAAGUCGGAUGUGAAAUCCAGCGGCCCAACCGCUGAAUUGCAUCCGAUACUGGGGAACUUGAGGACGGUAGAGGUCGGUGGAAUAUCCGGUGUACCGGUGAAAUGGACAGAUAUCGGAUGGAACACCAGUGGCGAAGGCGGCCGACUGGGCCGAUCCUGACGCUGAGACCCGAAAGCUAGGGUAGCGAACCGG
rnacentral:rRNA from 1 species